AAGUGUUACAGCCCUUUUUAGAUUUUCUCUAGCAGGCUUUCCAGUUUUUAUCAAAAAACCCUU
ensembl:snRNA U7 U7 small nuclear RNA